rnacentral:rRNA from 1 species
UCUACGGGUGGCAGCAGUGGGGAAUAUUGGGCAAUGGGCGCAAGCCUGACCCAGCAACGCCGCGUGAAGGAAGCAGGCUUUCGGGUUGUAAACUUCUUUUCUGAGGGACGACGAAAGUGACGGUACCUCAGGAAUAAGACACGGCUAACUACGUGCCAGCAGCCGCGGUACUAAGUAGGUGGCAAGCGUUAUCCGGAUUUAUUGGGUGUAAAGGGCGUGUGAGCGGGUAAGCAAGUCAGAUGUGAAAACUCAGGGCUCAACCCUGAGCCUGCAUUUGAAACUGUUUUUCUUGAGUGCUGGAGAGGCAAUCGGAAUUCCGUGUGUAGCGGUGAAAUGCGUAGAUAUACGGAGGAACACCAGUGGCGAAGGCGGAUUGCUGGACAGUAACUGACGCUGAGGCGCGAAAGCGUGGGGAGCAAACAGGAUUAGAUACCCCAGUAGUC